GGCGUAAAGAGCUUGUAGGCGGCUUGUCGCGUCUGCUGUGAAAGCCCGGGGCUUAACCCCGGGUCUGCAGUGGGUACGGGCAGGCUAGAGUGUGGUAGGGGAGACUGGAAUUCCUGGUGUAGCGGUGGAAUGCGCAGAUAUCAGGAGGAACACCGAUGGCGAAGGCAGGUCUCUGGGCCAUUACUGACGCUGAGAAGCGAAAGCGUGGGGAGCGAACAGGAUUAGAUACCCUGGUAGUCCACGCCGUAAACGUUGGGCGCUAGGUGUGGGUCCCAUUCCACGGGGUCCGUGCCGCAGCUAACGCAUUAAGCGCCCCGCCUGGGGAGUACGGCCGCAAGGCUAAAACUCAAAGGAAUUGACGGGGGCCCGCACAAGCGGCGGAGCAUGCGGAUUAAUUCGAUGCAACGCGAAGAACCUUACCAAGGCUUGACAUGUACCGGAAACCCUCGGAGACGGGGGCCCCGCAAGGCUGGUACACAGGUGGUGCAUGGUUGUCGUCAGCUCGUGUCGUGAGAUGUUGGGUUAAGUCCCGCAACGAGCGCAACCCUCGUUCUAUGUUGCCAGCGGUUCGGCCGGGGACUCAUAGGAGACUGCCGGGGUCAACUCGGAGGAAGGU
rnacentral:rRNA from 1 species